GGUUGGGAAUUUGGGAACUAUAAACACGAGAUCAUCAAGUUGAUUGGAAACCGGCCAAUCAAAUUCAAACUGAGUUUCGCAUCAAAUGAUCGAAAUUCGUUAUGAAAUUCCCAACCAAGUUCGCAAGCAAGUUCGCAAAUUGCAAACGAUUUUGACGGUAAAUUUUAAAAACUAAACUUAUUGUAUUAAACUUAUUGUAAUUUUAAACCUGAAAUUAUUAUUAUUAUGAUAUUAUUUAUUAUUAAAUGAAUAAGUUUAAUACAAUAAGU